rnacentral:rRNA from 1 species
ACUCCUACGGGAGGCAGCAGUAGGGAAUCUUCCACAAUGGGCGCAAGCCUGAUGGAGCAACACCGCGUGAGUGAAGAAGGGUUUCGGCUCGUAAAGCUCUGUUGUUAAAGAAGAACACGUAUGAGAGUAACUGUUCAUACGUUGACGGUAUUUAACCAGAAAGUCACGGCUAACUACGUGCCAGCAGCCGCGGUAAUACGUAGGUGGCAAGCGUUAUCCGGGAUUUAUUGGGCGUAAAGAGAGUGCAGGCGGUUUUCUAAGUCUGAUGUGAAAGCCUUCGGCUUAACCGGAGAAGUGCAUCGGAAACUGGAUAACUUGAGUGCAGAAGAGGGUAGUGGAACUCCAUGUGUAGUGGUGGAAUGCGUAGAUAUAUGGAAGAACACCGAGUGGCGAAGGCGGCUACCUGGUCUGCAACUGACGCUGAGACUCGAAAGCAUGGGUAGCGAACAGGAUUAGAUACCCC